rnacentral:rRNA from 1 species
AGAGUUUGAUCCUGGCUCAGGAUGAACGCUAGCGACAGGCUUAACACAUGCAAGUCGAGGGGCAGCACGGUGUAGCAAUACACUGGUGGCGACCGGCGCACGGGUGAGUAACACGUGUGCAACCAACCCCGUACCGGGAGAUAACCCGCGGAAACGUGGACUAACAUCCCAUAAUACUGGAGGAUCGCAUGAUCUUUCAUUUAAAAUUCCGGUGGUACGGGACGGGCACGCGCGACAUUAGGUAGUUGGCGGGGUAACGGCCCACCAAGCCGACGAUGUCUAGGGGUUCUGAGAGGAAGGUCCCCCACACUGGAACUGAGACACGGUCCAGACUCCUACGGGAGGCAGCAGUGAGGAAUAUUGGUCAAUGGGCGCGAGCCUGAACCAGCCAAGUCGCGUGAGGGAAGAAUGGUCCAUGGCCUGUAAACCUCUUUUGUCAAGGAAGAAUAGACGGCACGCGUGCUGUUUUGCCAGUACUUGACGAAUAAGCAUCGGCUAACUCCGUGCCAGCAGCCGCGGUAAUACGGGGGAUGCGAGCGUUAUCCGGAUUUAUUGGGUUUAAAGGGCGCGUAGGCGGGACGCCAAGUCAGCGGUAAAAGACUGCAGCUAAACUGUAGCACGCCGUUGAAACUGGCGCCCUCGAGACGAGACGAGGGAGGCGGAACAAGUGAAGUAGCGGUGAAAUGCUUAGAUAUCACUUGGAACCCCGAUAGCGAAGGCAGCUUCCCAGGCUCGAUCUGACGCUGAUGCGCGAGAGCGUGGGUAGCGAACAGGAUUAGAUACCCUGGUAGUCCACGCCGUAAACGAUGCUCACUGGAUCUUGGCGAUACACUGCCAGGGUUCAAGCGAAAGUAUUAAGUGAGCCACCUGGGGAGUACGUCGGCAACGAUGAAACUCAAAGGAAUUGACGGGGGCCCGCACAAGCGGAGGAACAUGUG